AUUGAACGCUGGCGGAAUGCUUUACACAUGCAAGUCGAACGGUAGAGGGGGCAACCCCUCGAGAGUGGCGAACGGGUGAGUAAUAUAUCGGAACGUACCUUUCAGUGGGGGAUAACGUAGCGAAAGUUACGCUAAUACCGCAUAUUCUGUGAGCAGGAAAGCAGGGGAUCUUCGGACCUUGCGCUGAUUGAGCGGCCGAUAUCAGAUUAGCUAGUUGGUGAGGUAAAGGCUCACCAAGGCGACGAUCUGUAGCGGGUCUGAGAGGAUGAUCCGCCACACUGGAACUGAGACACGGUCCAGACUCCUACGGGAGGCAGCAGUGGGGAAUUUUGGACAAUGGGGGCAACCCUGAUCCAGCCAUGCCGCGUGAGUGAAGAAGGCCUUCGGGUUGUAAAGCUCUUUCGGCCGGGAAGAAAUCGCACGGGUUAAUACCCCGUGUGGAUGACGGUACCGGAAUAAGAAGCACCGGCUAACUACGUGCCAGCCGCCGCCGUAA
rnacentral:rRNA from 1 species